ensembl:lncRNA
AAAAAAAUUUCAGUGUUUUUAAUUCAAUUAAUUAAUUUAAAUCCUGUUCAUUGAAUAAAAAACACACACUCAAAUGAUUAUACUUGUUGACACUUUUUGAGUUUUAAUUCACAUUAUGGAUUACAAAUCUAUGCUUUUUCUACUCUGUCUCUCUGUGCAGGUAUUGCUGUCUCUGAGUUCUUCAGUGUCCCAACUGAGACAUUCAAACCUCAUUGCAGAGCUCAUGCUUUCCUCACCAUCAUGUGAGUGUGAGAUUGCUCUGGAUUCUGGUUAUGUGGCCUGCAGCACCUAUAAGAACAAGCUCGUACAGUGUGCCUGCAUUCCAGCUUCUUAGACUCUACGCAAGUGGACAGAGUAUCAGUGUUUGGCCACUCUUACAGACACCGACUUCUGUCAACUCACUGCUACUGAUCAGGCACCUCACUCCAGGAAGACAGAGGGCUGCAAACCUGUCAUCGUUUCCAGUGUGGCUUUGUAUUCUUGGGGUAGCAUCAGAUUUUUCCCACAAAUAUUCAAAGGUAACACUUAUUUUAAGCUUAGUUAUUAAACCAAAGUCUUCCCUUGUGUUAAUUUUUUUUUGUUGUUUUUUUUUGUUUUCUUUUAGAUUUAUAUGCAGUGACCGGAUGUUGUGGAGCUUUGUUAACUGUGUGGAAAACAUCUGUUUGUGAUUAUAUUUACAAUGAGGCUUUAAGGUGACAGUUUCCAUGUAAUUUCAAUCCUUUUACUAAGCAAAAACAUGUUUGCAAUUAACAUAUUUUUUUCAGUUUUGUCUUUUGGAUUUAUGGUUAACAUUCCUCUGUGAUAGCAAAUACUAAACUGGUCCAAGUAACCAGCAUAUCAUUGGUCAAAGGCAAAAGGACCACAUGUCACGCUAGCAAUGAAUUUUUGACUGUGUUUGUGUCACCAGAUUUAACAAACAAUAUCAGACAUAUGAAACUGAACUCUGGAUUAAUGUGCAGAUAUAUUGUUUUUUUGUUUUGUUUUUAUUGUUGAAUAAUUAUUUGUAGGACAAACCGAAUCUAUUUACCCAAACAAUGUAAUUUGUUUGGUUAAAUAGUGGAUUAAUAUAUCUAAGUCUAUAAGUAUAGCAAGCUGAAUUCAUACAAACACACAGCUCUAAAUCUUGAAUUGUAGGAUGUACAAAAAUGAUCAUGUGAUUAUUAUGGACAUUUAAAUAACUAUAUCUAUUGAACCAUUACACCUAUUCUUUAUAGAAAUUACACAAUCUCAAAAUGUGAAAAAAGAAAGUGUUUAAGAGAAUAAAUAAUGUGUGUUUGUAUGAAUCCUGCCUUAGUAUGGGGUGUCAGUAACUACAUUAGUAUAGAGUAGGUCUAACAGUGGUUUCCACAUCUGCUCUAAUAUAUAUAGAUAAUGGGUCAGACAUAUAAAGUCAUUUUGAAAAGUUCAUAAAGGUCACAUCCAUUUAUAUGUGUUCCUUUUAUCAUUUUAUAUCAGGUCACACAGCUGACUUGAGUUUUGAUCAGAGUAGAACCAUAACAUUCAUGCUAAUGGUUCUACUGUUUACAGUUACUUUAUGAUGGAUUUCAUCCUGGUCACAGCACUAUGUGAAAAGCUGUUAGAGGUAAAGUUAACCCAAUUAAUACCUCAUCAUAAGUCACUCUCUAACGCAAAGCAGUGAUUAUUUUCACUGUAAUUUAUUCCACAACAAUGUUCUUUAUUUGAUCCCUGUUUCUUUAAAUAUGCACAUCGAUUGUUCAGCUGUGUGACUCUCUACACCUCAAAUAUAUCACAAUGUGGACUUCAUUUUGACAGUAUUUUGUAGAUUGGUACCAUAUUUAUCAUCAAAUCAGGAAACUGUAAACUAAUUGAAAAAUGAAGCUUAUGAAAAUUUUAAUGUGGCAUUGGAACAUGUUGUUUAUCCUUGCCAAAUGGUAUUUACACAAAACUCCAGCAAAUCAGAGGAUGUUUUUUGUCCCUCACUUGCUGUUUAUAUAUGUGUAUAUUUUUGCAGUCAAUAGCCUAUCAUGUGUCUGCGCAUCUUAGGGCCAUAAACAUAACAUGGCAAACAAGGAUAUGUUCACAAUUCCAACAGAUGCUUCAAUUGUUGUAUAGAUGUUAGAUUCAUUUGAUUUGCAUUUUCUAUUAAUAUUUUCUGUUUGUCCCAAAUGGAUUUUUAUUUCUGUUUGCCAUUAUUGUAAUCAUUGGAAACAACUGAGUAAAUAUUUUGUAUCAUAUGUUUCUAAAAAUAUUUGAAUAUUCUACUUUUCUACUACUGGUUUUCUACUUUCUAAACUUUCUGCCACUCUUUGGCAUUUCAAUAACAUUAUUUUGGGUGUUUUUAUCUCUGACCGCAGCAUCUUGUGCAUUUAUUACCUAAAUGUUGUUUGUGUGGGUUUUGUUUUUGUUUUGUUUUUUGCCAUUUUUAGAUUUCACCAGCUGUGUAAACUCUGC